GAGCACUUGUAAAAUAUCCAUUCAUAUAUCCGCUUCAGAUUUUGAUAUCGUGUUAGUACUAAAGAUUAUUUCUUAGUGUAAAGCAUGAAUGAUUCAUCUGUUUUGGAAGCAAAUUGAAUAAAUGCCUCGCAUAAAUAAAAGGACUACUGAAGAAGCAAAAUAGACUCAUGAUAAGGUUAAAGAAAGCCAAGGGAAUAAGGAAAAAUAAGUAUUUCUCCUAAAGACUCAUCUUCUUUGGUAAAUAAAAAUGUAUGAAUCACGAAGCGCUGAUGGAUCUUUUCUCUUCCAAAAAGGUUGGGUUUAUUGUCAACUAUUAAGUGUCCAAAUGAUUCUACCCUGUGUUAUGUAAUCAUUAGCUUCUUUUUUUAGUGUCUGCUCUCUGAAGAAAAAUAAUUUGUCUAUGCCUUUUUUUAAAUUAUAAAACAUCCUUUUACUAUUCAAAA